UGGGGAAUUUUGGACAAUUGGGCGAAAGCCUGAUCCAGCAAUGCCGCGUGUGUGAAGAAGGCCUUCGGGUUGUAAAGCACUUUUGUCCGGAAAGAAAUCCUUGGCUCUAAUACAGUCGGGGGAUGACGGUACCGGAAGAAUAAGCACCGGCUAACUACGUGCCAGCAGCCGCGGUAAUACGUAGGGUGCAAGCGUUAAUCGGAAUUACUGGGCGUAAAGCGUGCGCAGGCGGUUUGCUAAGACCGAUGUGAAAUCCCCGGGCUCAACCUGGGAACUGCAUUGGUGACUGGCAGGCUAGAGUAUGGCAGAGGGGGGUAGAAUUCCACGUGUAGCAGUGAAAUGCGUAGAGAUGUGGAGGAAUACCGAUGGCGAAGGCAGCCCCCUGGGCCAAGUACUGACGCUCAUGCACGAAAGCGUGGGGAGCAAACAGGAUUAAUACCCUGGUAGUCCACGCCCUAAAACGAUGUCAACUAGUUGUU
rnacentral:rRNA from 1 species